rnacentral:rRNA from 1 species
UACGUAGGUGGCGAGCGUUGUCCGGAUUUACUGGGCGUAAAGGGCGCGUAGGCGGAUUUUUAAGUGAGAUGUGAAAUACCCGGGCUCAACUUGGGUGCUGCAUUUCAAACUGGAAGUCUAGAGUGCAGGAGAGGAGAGUGGAAUUCCUAGUGUAGCGGUGAAAUGCGUAGAGAUUAGGAAGAACACCAGUGGCGAAGGCGACUCUCUGGACUGUAACUGACGCUGAGGCUCGAAAGCGUGGGGAGCAAACAGG